CCUUACAGAUUUGGUCUUUUCCAGAGUUAGGAAUAGAUAAAUUUCCUGAAGUUAAUUCUUGAAAAUUUAGAAUUUAGAAUAUUUUCCCAUGUUUUAGGAUACUUGAUGAUGAUACAAUUCUAACCAUAUUGAGGUUAAUAUUUGAAAUGUUAGUGUUACUGCCUGAUAGGGUUUGGCUUUGUGUCCCCACCCAACUCUCAUGUGAAAUCGUAAUCCGAAAGUGUUGAAGGAGGGGCCCUGUGGGAGAUGAUUGGAUCCUGGGGGCAGUUUCUGAUGGUUUAGCACCAUCCCACUAGUGCUGUUUCAAGAGUGACUUCUCACGAGAUCUGCUUGUUUAAAAAUAUUUACCACUACCCCUCUCUCACCUGCCACAAUGUGAAGAAAGUCCUUGUACCCUUCGCCUUCCGCCAUAAUGCUUUAAAAAAAAAAGUCUGGGGCCGGGCGUGGUGGCUCACGCCUUUAAUCUCAACACUUUGGGAGGCCGAGCGGGUGGAUCACCUGACAUCGGGAGUUCGAGACCAGCCUGACCAACAUGGAGUUACCCCAUCUCUACUAAAAAUACAAAAUUAGCUGGGUGUGGUGGCACAUACCUGUAAUCCCAGCUACUUGGGAAGCUGAGGCAGGAGAAUCGCUUGAACCUGGGAGGCAGAGGUUGCGGUGGGCCGAGAUCGCACCAUUGCACUCCACCCUGGGCAACAAGAGCAAAACUCGGUCUCAAAAAAAAAAAAAUAGUCUGGAAACAAUUCAAAUGUAUAUCAAUAGGAGGAUGGGAAGACAAAUUGUGGGCCCAGCACAAUGACUUAACACCUGUAAUCCCAACACUCUGGGAGGCCAAGCCAUGAGGAUCACUGGAGGCCAGGAGUUUGAGACUAGCCUGAGCAACAUAGCGAGACUCUGUCUUUACAAAAAAAAAUUAAAACUUAGCUGAGCAUGUUGGCACAUGCCUGGAGUCCCAGCUACUUGGGAGGCUGAGGCAAGAGAAUUGCAUGAAUCCAGGAGUUCAAGGUUGCAGUGAGCCGUGAUCACACCACUGUACUUCAGCCUGGGUGAGAGCAAGACCUUGUCUUUAAAAAGUAAAAGAGUAAAACAAAUUGUGAUACAGUCAUACGAUGGAGUAUUAUUGAGCAAGUCAAAGGAAAGGACUGCUGAUACAACACGGACAAAUCUCAAAAACAUUGCAUUUGGCAAAAGAAGCCAGACACAGAGUACAUAGCAUAUGAAUCCAUUUAUAUAAAAUUUAAGAACAGGAAAAAGUAAUCUGUGUUUAGUAUCUUCUUAUGGCAGAGGCAGUAGGUUGGGAUUUUAGUGGAAAGGAUUAUGAGGGAACAUGGUAGGAUGGUGAAAAUGUUCUGCACUGUCUCAGCUGCACUAAUGACAUAUAGCUAUUAAAAUCUAUUAAUUAAAACAAAAUUCAUUUCCACUGUCACAUUAGCUACAUUUUAAAUGUUCAAUAGCCACAUGUGGCUACUGCCUACUAAGUUGGACAGUGCAAAUACAGACUUCUGUUAUCUCAGAAGUUCUACUAGAGAGUUCUAGUCUAG
rnacentral:lncRNA from 1 species